AGAGCAAGCAGCUCCCGUAGGUCAUAUCUAUAACCAACAACUGGGAACAGUGCAGAUAGCUGCUGUAUGUCCGCCCUAUAGCUAUGACCAACAAUUCGGAGCAGUGCUGGCAGCUCCUGAAGGUGGUUAUUUCAAUCCAAGUCCUGUACCAGAUGUAACAAACAACACCUACUGUCAGCAGUGGACGCCCAUGAUUACGCCAGCUGGAGUUGAAC